GAUGAACGCUGGCGGCGUGCCUAAUACAUGCAAGUCGAGCGAACGGACGAGAAGCUUGCUUCUCUGAUGUUAGCGGCGGACGGGUGGGUAACACGUGGAUAACCUACCUAUAAGACUGGGAUAACUUCGGGAAACCGGAGCUAAUACCGGAUAAUAUUUUGAACCGCAUGGUUCAAAAGUGAAAGACGGUCUUGCUGUCACUUAUAGAUGGAUCCGCGCUGCAUUAGCUAGUUGGUAAGGUAACGGCUUACCAAGGCAACGAUGCAUAGCCGACCUGAGAGGGUGAUCGGCCACACUGGAACUGAGACACGGUCCAGACUCCUACGGGAGGCAGCAGUAGGGAAUCUUCCGCAAUGGGCGAAAGCCUGACGGAGCAACGCCGCGUGAGAGAUGAAGGUCUUCGGAUCGUAAAACUCUGUUAUUAGGGAAGAACAUAUGUGUAAGUAACUGUGCACAUCUUGACGGUACCUAAUCAGAAAGCCACGGCUAACUACGUG
rnacentral:rRNA from 1 species